GUGUCAGCCGCCGCGGUAAUACGUAGGGUGCGAGCGUUAAUCGGAAUUACUGGGCGUAAAGCGUGCGCAGGCGGAUUGUUAAGCAAGAUGUGAAAUCCCCGGGCUUAACCUGGGAAUGGCAUUUUGAACUGGCAGUCUAGAGUGUGUCAGAGGGGGGUGGAAUUCCACGUGUAGCAGUGAAAUGCGUAGAGAUGUGGAGGAACACCGAUGGCGAAGGCAGCCCCCUGGGAUAACACUGACGCUCAUGUACGAAAGCGUGGGUAGCAAACAGGAUUAGAUACCCCCGUAGUCC
rnacentral:rRNA from 1 species